rnacentral:rRNA from 1 species
CCUACGGGAUGCAGCAGUGGGGAAUAUUGGACAAUGGGCGAAAGCCUGAUCCAGCCAUGCCGCGUGUGUGAAGAAGGCCUUCGGGUUGUAAAGCACUUUCAGUGGGGAAGAAAGCCUUGGGGCUAAUACCCUCGAGGAAGGACAUCACCCACAGAAGAAGCACCGGCUAACUCCGUGCCAGCAGCCGCGGUAAUACGGAGGGUGCGAGCGUUAAUCGGAAUUACUGGGCGUAAAGCGCGCGUAGGCGGUCUGAUAAGCCGGUUGUGAAAGCCCCGGGCUCAACCUGGGAACGGCAUCCGGAACUGUCAGGCUAGAGUGCAGGAGAGGAAGGUAGAAUUCCCGGUGUAGCGGUGAAAUGCGUAGAGAUCGGGAGGAAUACCAGUGGCGAAGGCGGCCUUCUGGACUGACACUGACGCUGAGGUGCGAAAGCGUGGGUAGCAAACAGGAUUAGAUACCCGUGUAGUC